rnacentral:misc_RNA from 1 species
GAUGAAGAACGCAGCGAAAUGCGAUACGUAAUGUGAAUUGCAGAAUUCAGUGAAUCAUCGAAUCUUUGAACGCAUAUUGCGCUCUCUGGUAUUCCGGAGAGCAUGCUUGUUUGAGUAUCAGUAAACACCUCAACUUCCAUAUCUUUUUUGAAAUGGGAGUUGGACUUGAGUGAUCCCAACGCUUUUCCUCACCGAAAAGUGGCGGGUUACUUGAAAUGCAGGUGCAGCUGGACUUUUCUCUGAGCGAUAAGCAUAUCUAUUUAGUCUGCCUAAAAAACAGAUUAUUACCUUUGCUGCAGCUAACAUAAAGGAGAUUAGUUCUUGUGCUGACUGAUGCAGGAUUCACAAAGACAGGCUUCGGCCGACUUUGUAAACUCGAUCUCAAAUCAAGUAAGACUACCCGCUGAACUUAAGCAUAUCAAUAAGCGGAGGA